AGAGUUUGAUCCUGGCUCAGAUUGAACGCUGGCGGCAGGCCUAACACAUGCAAGUCGAACGGUAACAGGAAGCAGCUUGCUGCUUCGCUGACGAGUGGCGGACGGGUGAGUAAUGUCUGGGAAACUGCCUGAUGGAGGGGGAUAACUACUGGAAACGGUAGCUAAUACCGCAUAACGUCGCAAGACCAAAGAGGGGGACCUUCGGGCCUCUUGCCAUCGGAUGUGCCCAGAUGGGAUUAGCUAGUAGGUGGGGUAACGGCUCACCUAGGCGACGAUCCCUAGCUGGUCUGAGAGGAUGACCAGCCACACUGGAACUGAGACACGGUCCAGACUCCUACGGGAGGCAGCAGUGGGGAAUAUUGCACAAUGGGCGCAAGCCUGAUGCAGCCAUGCCGCGUGUAUGAAGAAGGCCUUCGGGUUGUAAAGUACUUUCAGCGGGGAGGAAGGGAGUAAAGUUAAUACCUUUGCUCAUUGACGUUACCCGCAGAAGAAGCACCGGCUAACUCCGUGCCAGCAGCCGCGGUAAUACGGAGGGUGCAAGCGUUGAUCGGAAUUACUGGGCGUAAAGCGCACGCAGGCGGUUUGUUAAGUCAGAUGUGAAAUCCCCGGGCUCAACCUGGGAACUGCAUCUGAUACUGGCAAGCUUGAGUCUCGUAGAGGGGGGUAGAAUUCCAGGUGUAGCGGUGAAAUGCGUAGAGAUCUGGAGGAAUACCGGUGGCGAAGGCGGCCCCCUGGACGAAGACUGACGCUCAGGUGCGAAAGCGUGGGGAGCAAACAGGAUUAGAUACCCUGGUAGUCCACGCCGUAAACGAUGUCGACUUGGAGGUUGUGCCCUUGAGGCGUGGCUUCCGGAGCUAACGCGUUAAGUCGACCGCCUGGGGAGUACGGCCGCAAGGUUAAAACUCAAAUGAAUUGACGGGGGCCCGCACAAGCGGUGGAGCAUGUGGUUUAAUUCGAUGCAACGCGAAGAACCUUACCUGGUCUUGACAUCCACGGAAGUUUUCAGAGAUGAGAAUGUGCCUUCGGGAACCGUGAGACAGGUGCUGCAUGGCUGUCGUCAGCUCGUGUUGUGAAAUGUUGGGUUAAGUCCCGCAACGAGCGCAACCCUUAUCCUUUGUUGCCAGCGGUCCGGCCGGGAACUCAAAGGAGACUGCCAGUGAUAAACUGGAGGAAGGUAGGGAUGACGUCAAGUCAUCAUGGCCCUUACGACCAGGGCUACACACGUGCUACAAUGGCGCAUACAAAGAGAAGCGACCUCGCGAGAGCAAGCGGACCUCAUAAAGUGCGUCGUAGUCCGGAUUGGAGUCUGCAACUCGACUCCAUGAAGUCGGAAUCGCUAGUAAUCGUGGAUCAGAAUGCCACGGUGAAUACGUUCCCGGGCCUUGCACACACCGCCCGUCA
rnacentral:rRNA from 1 species